rnacentral:misc_RNA from 1 species
UAUAAAUUUCCAUUAUAAAGUUCAAAACAUUCAGAGGUUGUGAUAAAAUAACAUAGACUGGCAAAAAAAACCCAAAGGGCAAAGCCAAACCCGUGGCAAUUCCCAAACACCAGGUCUACAAAAUGUGCACAGUAGGAGAGAUAAAUAUGACAGGCGUGCACCAUAAGAGAGCAACAGCCCGUUCAAGUUUAUUCUAUAAUGAUCCUUCCGCAGGUUCACCUACGGAAA